AGAAUCAACGCUGGCGGCGUGCCUAACACAUGCAAGUCGAACGAGAAAGUGGAGCAAUCCAUGAGUACAGUGGCGUACGGGUGAGUAACACGUGACUAACCUACCCUCGAGUGGGGAAUAACCUCGGGAAACCGGGGCUAAUACCGCAUAACAUCUACGGAUCAAAUGCGCAAGCAGCUUGAGGAGGGGGUCGCGGCCGAUUAGCUAGUUGGCGGGGUAAUGGCCCACCAAGGCAAUGAUCGGUAGCCGGCCUGAGAGGGCGCACGGCCACACUGGAACUGAAACACGGUCCAGACUCCUACGGGAGGCAGCAGUGGGGAAUUUUGCGCAAUGGGGGAAACCCUGACGCAGCAACGCCGCGUGGAGGAUGAAGCCCCUUGGGGUGUAAACUCCUUUCGAUCGGGACGAUUAUGACGGUACCGGAUGAAGAAGCACCGGCUAACUCUGUGCCAGCAGCCGC
rnacentral:rRNA from 1 species